UGAUAUCGAAUAGGCCGGCCUUGCACUCGCGGCGAAUCUGUCAGAUUGUUAUUAAAACUCUGGGAGUCGAGAGAGAGAGCGUCGCAGGAGAUCCACCGGAAACAGUACUCCCAUCCCUUCCUUGGCUGCGAACAGAUCGACCGCCUACCCCACCGGAAACCCUAGGAAAUAGCACCUGCAAUCGAUCCCGACUAUUGUUCGUUCAGAUUUCUCGUGCGCGUUUGAUUCAGCAAUCAUAAACCCUUCUCUAUCAACUCUCCUGCGGGAGGUCCUGCGAGCGAAGUCUCUUAAAGAUGCGAUCUUCGGUCCCGUUUUCCGCAAUCCAGGAUUUUAUUUGUAUAGCAUGAAGGAGACGACGCGCUGUGUUUUGGACACGGUUGAAGUGCUCUCUGCGGAUCGCCACGGGUUUCAGGGUUCUGAUGGCGUCUUCGCCCGUCAAGUUUCUCUUCGCAUUUCUUUUCGUUUCUUCCGUUGGAUGGAUUAUCUUCACAUUUGCUUCAAGAUUAUUGGCUUGGUUCUUGAGCCGCAUAUUGGGAGCAUCUGUUGGGUUUAGGGUUGCUGGCUGCAAUUGUUUAAGAGAUGUUAGUUUGAAGUUCAAUAAGGCAUAUAAGCUUGUUUAAGAAAAGAAAAAAAGAUUCCUGAUAUGUCAGAAAGCUGCAUGGGUCCAGAACGGUUACCCACUUCAUCCUUGCCUUUUAAAUACCUCUCCGACAUGUUCAAAAGUAGAGGUCUUUAAUUGUUGGGGAUUGAAAGUGUGAUGUAAAUUUUACUAACAAGUUUGCUAGUUAUUGAUGUAGAACGGAAGGGAAGAAGAUGCGAAGCUCCGGUGUAGUCGUUGGAUUGUUUGAGAUGGAGUGGACAGCAACCCGAACUUCCUAGCUGCCUUUGGGCAACAACCGACCUCUUUCCGGCUGGUUGGACAACACAACUUUUUGCUGGAAUGUUCUGGACAGCAAGCCUUGGCCCUAGGAACCCUGGACAGCAGCUCUCAAGGCUAUGGAAUAUCUGGACAGCACCCACAAUUUUGUCCGGAAGUCUGGACAACAGUUUGGCGGGGAAAAUUUCACCGUUCCAGAUCUCUGGAUGCAGGAAACUAAAGGAAUGUUGUAGAGGAAUAUGUGAACAACAAUGAGAGUAAUCUUGGGAUUAAUUUACUUGCUUAGGUGACAAGUUUAAUUAAAUCCCAAAU